rnacentral:rRNA from 1 species
UACGGAGGGUGCUAGCGUUGUUCGGAAUUAUUGGGCGUAAAGGGCGCGUAGGCGGUUAUGUAAGUCAGAUGUGAAAUACUUCGGCUCAACCGAAGAACUGCAUUUGAUACUACAUAGCUAGAGUACAGAAGAGGGAAAUGGAAUUCCCGGUGUAGAGGUGAAAUUCGUAGAUAUCGGGAGGAACACCAGUGGCGAAGGCGAUUUCCUGGUCUGAUACUGACGCUGAGGCGCGAAAGCGUGGGGAGCAAAC